AUGAGCGCUGCGCACACAUACAGCUAAAUGUCAUCUGCUUUAACGGCAUAAUUAGACAGUUUUUUUGACAUCUGUGUUGCUGAAUCUUUUGCAAUGUGUUCAAUUAAUAUUGGAGAAGUCACAGUAGAAAGAUGGAGUUGGGAAGCUUUAGCCUUUAGCCACACAAACACACGGUAAUUCCUUGUUUAAAAUUCCUGGAGGUGAAACUUUCCUAUAGAUCAGAGCGCGGUCAAGCGAACAUGGAUCCUACCGAAUGUCAACCAGCAGGUUUCGCUGCCGUCGACUCCACUGAGACACUGCGCGUCAAGACGCCCGUGUAGACACCCUUCUGACUAUCAGUGUACAGCUGCCGUCGACUUCCAUCAGACACUGGCCUCAAGACACUUGUGGACACACACUUCCGACUAUCAG